rnacentral:rRNA from 1 species
UACGGGGGGUGCAAACGUUGUUCGGAAUCACUGGGCGUAAAGAGCGCGUAGGCGGCCUUGUAAGUGGGGUGUGAAAUCCCCCGGCUCAACCGGGGAACUGCAUCCCAUACUGCAUGGCUUGAGGGCAGCAGAGGAAACGGGAGUUCCCGGUGUAGCGGUGAAAUGCGUAGAUAUCGGGAGGAACACCAGUGGCGAAGGCGCGUUUCUGGGCUGCAUCUGACGCUGAGGCGCGAAAGCUAGGGGAGCAAACAGG